rnacentral:rRNA from 1 species
AGGAGGGAAGGAGCAACAGGGAUUGCCUCAGUAACGGCGAGUGAAGCGGCAAAAGCUCAAAUUUUAAAGCUGACAUCUUCGGUGUCCGCGUUGUAAUUUUGUGAGGCAUCUCCGGGUAGGGCGCCGGCCUAAGUUCCUUGGAACAGGACGUCACAGAGGGUGAGAAUCCCGUGCUUGGCUGGCUGUCCCCGUCCAUGUGAGGUGUCUUCGACGAGUCGAGUUGUUUGGGAAUGCAGCUCAAAAUGGGUGGUAAAUUUCAUCUAAAGCUAAAUAUUGGUGGGAGACCGAUAGCGCACAAGUAGAGUGAUCGAAAGAUGAAAAGCACUUUGAAAAUAGAGUUAAAAAGUACGUGAAAUUGUUGAAAGGGAAGCGCUUGAGAUCAGACUUCGGUAAGGGGUGAUCAGCCGUCCUUCUGGGCGGUGCACUUGCCCCCCUCCGGGCCAGCAUCGGUUGAGGCGGUGGGAUAAAGGUCCCGGGAAUGUGGCUCCUUCACGGGAGUGUUAUAGCCCGGGUGAAUGCCGCCAGCUUCGACCGAGGACCGCACCCGCAAGGGUUAGGAUGCUUGGCAUAAUGGUCUUCAGCGACCCGUCUUGAAACACGGACCAAGGAGUCUAACAUCUAUGCGAGUGUUUGGGUGUCAAACCCUUGCGCGAAAUGAAAGUGAACGGAGGUGGGAACCCGCAAGGGUGCACCAUCGACCGGUCCCGAAGUCUUCUGAAGGAUCUGAGUAGGAGCAUAGCUGUUGGGACCCGAAAGAUGGUGAACUAUGCCUGAAUAGGGUGAAGCCAGAGGAAACUCUGGUGGAGGCUCGCAGCGGUUCUGACGUGCAAAUCGAUCGUCAAAUUUGGGUAUAGGGGCGAAAGACUAAUCGAACCAUGUUAUUGGUU